CUUUACUGUAGCUUGGAAUUGACUUUGGGUUUAUUUUGCGCAGUAUAGGUGGGAGGCUAUGAUUGUAUGUUUGUGGAUGUUCAGGAGCCAACAGUGAGAUACCACUCUAAAUAAACUAGAAUUCUAACUCUGAAAGCCGUUAACCGGACAGAGAACAGUUUCAGGUGGGCAGUUUGACUGGGGCGGUCGCCUCCUAAAAGGUAACGGAGGCGUACAAAGGUUUCCUCAGGCUGGUCGGAAAUCAGUCGAAGAGUAUAAAGGUAUAAGGAAGCUUGACUGUGAGACCUACAAGUCGAGCAGAGACGAAAGUCGGUCUUAGUGAUCCGACAGUACUGAGUGGAAAGGCUGUCGCUCAACGGAUAAAAGUUA
rnacentral:rRNA from 1 species